UGUGCACAUUGUUAGAGCUUGGAGUCAGGUCACAACCAGGCCGAUGAACUCGCAAGUGUAGGUAGUGUGCUAAAUGAGGGGCAAGGUUUCGCUAACCCCCACUCUGUCCCGUGAGUGGAGCUUGAUAGUAACCUUUGCUACAAGC